UGUGACCAGCCACCCUGAACACACCCCAUCCUCUUUGCUCGGAAGCUAAGCAGGACUGGGUCUGGUUAGUACUUGGAUAGGAGAAUAGGGCUAAUGGCAACAA
rnacentral:rRNA from 1 species